AGGGUUAAUCUUUUUCUCUUUUGUGCGACUAUUUAUCCAUAUAACCCUGCACACCAUUUGUCUGUUUCUCUUUGAUUUAGGGGUGGUGCUCCCUUAUUCAGGCUUACUUAUAUUUAAUAUACAAAGUGAAAUGCACAUGCCAUGCAAGUUGCACCCUGUCCCUUUCUUUUCUGCACCCCAGAAUACACAAAGACCUGAUCACCCCUCAGUAACAGAUCUCAGCUGGUGUCAGACAGAGCCACAUCCAUAAAGGGCCAGUUGGGGAGCAGGGUCAGAUUUACAUAGCGGGCGCCCCUGGGUCUGCUGCCGUUUGUCACCCCGUAACCUCCCCUUUAUUUCACCAAAUUCUCAUCAUCUGGACCAGAGAAAUGGGGAUUGGCACACAAACAUUUUUUUAAAUGUCUUAUAUCUCCUGCAUAUCCCUAAUGUUUCUGAACCAAUGUGGGUGUGAUUGGGCAGCAUGCCGCCCCCUAAAUUCUGCUGCCCUAGGCCCGGGCCUUGGUGGCCUUUCCACAAAGCAGAACCACAGAGCAAAAUGUAGCAGAACCCAACACACAACGUGGAGCAUUUCUAUGAUGUUAUUAAGUAGAAAAGUGCAGGAAACUACACACAAACCUGCACUUGUAAUGUAUUCGAAAGCAGCCGAGGUGCAGGAGCUUUACUGUUUGUUGUAGGGUUUCCAACGUUCAAUCCCCACUGCAGAUUUUAAAUGAAAGUAGCUGAACAGCCAAGCUAAAUGGUUAGGGUUAAAUAAAAGGAGCAGGACUGCAGCAGAGCUGAAUGAUUAGGGUUAAAUAAAAGGAGCAGGACUGCAGCAGAGCUGAAUGGUUAGGGUUAAAUAAAAGGAGCAGGACUGCAGCAGAGCGGAAUGGUUAGGGUUAAAUAAAAGGAGCAGGACUGCAGCAGAGCGGAAUGGUUAGGGUUAAAUAAAAGGAGCAGGACUGCAGCAGAGCGGAAUGGUUAGGGUUAAAUAAAAGGAGCAGGACUGCAGCAGAGCUGAAUGGUUAGGGUUAAAUAAAAGGAGCAGGACUGCAGCAGAGCUGAAUGGUUAGGGUUAAAUAAAAGGAGCAGAGCGGAAUGGUUAGGGUUAAAUAAAAGGAGCAGGACUGCAGCAGAGCUGAAUGGUUAGGGUUAAAUAAAAGGAGCAGAGCGGAAUGGUUAGGGUUAAAUAAAAGGAGCAGGACUGCAGCAGAGCUGAAUGGUUAGGGUUAAAUAAAAGGAGCAGGACUGCAGCAGAGCUGAAUGGUUAGGGUUAAAUAAAAGGAGCAGGACUGCAGCAGAGCUGAAUGUUUAGGGUUAAA